CGCAUCUGUGCAUGCAGCAUAUCAAUAAGCGGAGGAAAAGAAACUAACAAGGAUUCCCUUAGUAACGGCGAUGUGAAGCGGGAAGAGCUCAAAUUUGAAAUCUUCAAGGUUUUACCUUGACGAAUUGUAGUUUAAAGAAGUGUUUUCUGUUGAAGUUUUGGUAAAAGUUCUUUGGAAUAGGACAUCAUAGAGGGUGAGAAUCCCGUAUUUGACCAUUAUUUUCAGCUGUGUGAUACACUUUCAAAGAGUCGGAUUGUUUGGGAAUGCAGUCCAAAAUGGGUGGUAAAUUUCAUCUAAAGCUAAAUAUUGGCGAGAGACCGAUAGCGAACAAGUACCGUGAGGGAAAGAUGAAAAGAACUUUGAAAAGAGAGUUAAACAGUACGUGAAAUUGUCAAAAGGGAAGCGUUUGACACCAGUGUUGUUUUCUCGAAAAUCAAUUAAAAAGAGUUAGAUUUUGUUGUGUAUUGACCUUAACAGCUUGCAUUUCAAUUUUCUUGCUUUUUUUAGUGCACUUUUCGUUUAACAAGUCAACAUCAGUUUCUUUUGUUGUAAAAAGGUCAUUGGAAGGUGGCUUUCUUUUCGGAGAAAGUGUUUAUAGCCUUUGACUCCUGCAAUCGGAGAGACUGAGGUCUGCAGCGUAGAUCCUUCGGGGUUAGAUACAUUUGUGCUAAGUUAUAGCUUUUUAUAGACAACUUGUUGACUAUGAUUAGUCUUGUAGCUUACUCGCUUAUGCUAUUUUACCUACGCUUAGGAUGUUGACACACGCGCGUGCUC
rnacentral:rRNA from 1 species